rnacentral:rRNA from 1 species
GACGAACGCUGGCGGCGUGCUUAACACAUGCAAGUCGAACGGAAAGGCCCUGCUUUUGUGGGGUGCUCGAGUGGCGAACGGGUGAGUAACACGUGAGUAACCUGCCCUUGACUUUGGGAUAACUUCAGGAAACUGGGGCUAAUACCGGAUAGGAGCUCCUGCUGCAUGGUGGGGGUUGGAAAGUUUCGGCGGUUGGUGAUGGACUCGCGGCUUAUCAGCUUGUUGGUGGGGUAGUGGCUUACCAAGGCUUUGACGGGUAGCCGGCCUGAGAGGGUGACCGGCCACAUUGGGACUGAGAUGCGGCCCAGACUCCUACGGGAGGCAGCAGUGGGGAAUAUUGCACAAUGGGCGGAAGCCUGAUGCAGCAACGCCGCGUGCGGGAUGACGGCCUUCGGGCUGUAAACCGCUUUCGCCUGUGACGAAGCGUGAGUGACGGUAAUGGGUAAAGAAGCACCGGCUAACUACGUG